rfam:Postia placenta Mad-698-R POSPLscaffold_74_Cont3874, whole genome shotgun sequence.
GGGCAUUUGGCACAGUGGUAGCGCGCUCGCUUCGCAGGUCACGUAAUAGCACGUGUAGGCGUAUUUGCGUGAGGUCCAGGGUUCAAUCCCCUGAAUGUCCA